CAGCUUCAUUUUCAGCUUCUGCACACACAUUCCUGUUUCCUCCUGUGUGGUGUCCUCAGGCGUGGCAUUUAUUGGCCAGUGGGUCACAUUCAGUCAUUCGCUGUCCUGCUGGAACCGUGCGCUGUCUGGUCUCCCAGCCAGGUAGACAUGGGUUUGCCCUUGAGCCCGCCUGGGCCUCUCUCAAUGCCUCCUGCUCCUGGAGGUCCAAGGUCACUGGUGCACUGCUGGAAGGAGAGUUUCUGUGGCCUGGGCGUCAGCAGCUGAAGUUGAACUGUUCAUUUGAAGCGCAGCUGUAUUGUAUUUCCUAAUACCUGGGCAGCAGGUAGCUCCAGGAAAACCCUGGAAAAACAGGAUGAGAGCUUCUAUCUUUGUGUCCUCCACUCUCCUCUCCCCCUCCUCACAUUCAUAAAUGAAGGAACACUUCUUUCUUUCGCAUUGAACCCCUGUGGUUUCUUCUGUUUGGCGGACGAGUCCUCAGGUGGGCCAGUGAUUUCCCGCCUCCUGGUGUCCGCGUCCUGGUGUGACUCACCCCCCUUGAGUGUGGGCAGAACCUGUGAAUUUCUUAGGUGGAAAUGAUGGUGGGAGAAGCUGUUAAAAGCACGACUCAGGGAGUUCCCGUCAUGGCUCAGCGGAAACGCAUCUAACUAGCAUCCAUGAGGACGAAGGUGCAAUCCCUGGCUUCGAUCCCCAGGCCACAGCAUUGCCGUGAGCUGUGCUGUAUGUCACAGAUGUGGCUCAGACCCCGCGUUGCUGUGGCUGUGUUGUAGGCGGGCGGCUAUAGCUCCAGUUCAACCCCUAGCCUGGGAACCUCCAUAUGCCAUGGGUGUAGCCCUAAAAAGACAAAAAGAAAGAUCAAGACUCAAGUGAAGAGACUGUCCACUGAUGGCUUUGAAGAAUGAGAGGCCAGGCAGCAAGGAACAUGGGCAGCUUCUAGGAGCUGAGAGUGGCCCAAAGUAGCCAACAAAAUGUGGCCAUUUCCUAUAGCCUUAAGGAAAUGAAUUCUUCCAACACUCUGAGGGUGCUUGAAGAUGCUUAAACUUCCCCAGCCGAGUCUCUGAUGAGACCACAGCCCAGCCAAUACCCGGAUUUCGUCCUGUUAAGAGCUUUAUAUUGGGAGCCCAGCUAAGCAAACUGUGCCCACACUGCUGACCCAUGGAAACUAAGACAGAAAAUGUGUGUUGUCAGUAGUUCCUGUUGUGGCUCAGUGGGUUAAGCAUCCGGCAUUGUGACCACCUAUGGUGUAGGUUGCAGAUGUGGCUUGGAUCCUGUGUUGCUGUGGCUGUGGUGUAGGCUGGCAGCUGCAGCUCCCAUUUGACCUCUAGCCUGGGAACCUCCAUCUGCCGCAAGAGCAGCCCUAAAAAGC
ensembl:lncRNA